rnacentral:lncRNA from 9 species
UCUCUUAUUUCCAGAAAUGAAUGAGAUGAGACACUGAAUUCAUCCUGAGAUAACCAGGUGACUUUUCAUGAAGCAACCUCACCUAAAUUUACUUUUAUGUUUUGAUUAGACAAAUAUGGAAGUUACUUUGCAUUUUCCAAAUCCAGGUUAAAUAAGAGUGGAACGAAACCUGCCUACUGACAGGAAGGUCUAAAAUUUCACCAUGAGUCAGUGAGUGUUGCCUAUGGUCCUAUUUUUCAAUGAUUCCAGAAUCACACAGGACACUCAAACAAGUAGCAGACCUUCAAAGACAGGCAUAUGAAAGAGAAACUUAUUCCUUUGGGGAUGUAAAUUGCAUGAUAAUAUUCACAAAUAAACCAGCUGAAUUUUUUUUUUUUUUUUUUUUUUUUUUUUUUUAGUGUUUACCUUAAGAAGUGUGUCUAAGGCCUAGGAGAAAAGAUGUCAUUAUUUAUCUGCCACAUCUCUACUCACCGUUUUAACAACAGACUGUGCUUUCAGUCUCUUUUUGCAGCCACCUAGCCAAACAUGCUCUCCCAUCUACUCAGCACCAUGCUGCACAGCCUCAGAUACAAGCUUUCUGUGAAGGUGAUGAUUCUGAAGCACAGACGCUGAGCUCACAUAGUAACCAUGAGUACACACAGGUCACUAUGGCCAGGACAAAAGAGGAUGCCAGAGCAAGAACCCAUCAGCAACUCAAAACAUGGAGAGGAACAAGAAAUCACAUUAAGGGGAAGGGCAAAGUAGAGACAUUCUAUGUCCGUUAACACAAAAGCACCUUCUUCCCUACUGGUGGCUGAAAUGGGAGGUUACCAGGUAACUCUCUUCUUUGCCCAGGGAGUUCUAGAACAGACAGCAAGGAUCUGGCCCUUAUUUGGUGCAUUCCUGAGCCCUCCCAAGUGGGGUACCUGCAAGGGCCUGCUGUAAAUGUGCACAUGGAGAGCAUUACAGGGUAUCACAGGCCAAGGACAAGAAGAAAUGAUGAGAUGCCAUCAGUCAGUGUGGCUCCCACCUGAGCACUAAAGAAAUACUGGCAAAGUCAGUGUUUUCAUAACACAUUCACUAACAUUAUAAUAUACCUGCUCUCUCCAUCCUGGUUUUGAAACUGAAACAAAUCACCUGACAUUACAAAUCUUUCCAAACUAUCAAUUUUCUGUGUUUAAGUCAAAAUUAAUUUAAGACUGUCCUCAAAAUAGAAUAAUGUCUAAACCUGCUCAUUAAUGGAAAGUCCGUUUAAGCUUGCAGCUCUGCAAUUCCAAGUUAACUUCUGAUUUUGAAACAUCACUGGCAGAUAUGAAAGUAAAAUAAAGUAAAAGAAGAAAAAGUGAAGCAAUGGAAAAAUCUCCCCUGGCUCACAGUGUUGAAGAGAAGGUAUUUCCAAACCUCAACAUGUGUUUUUGAACUUUCUUUUAUGAGGAAGAGAGACCAUCUACCACUGUUGUGGAGAGCACUUCAUAAGGAAAAUAAAUUUCUCUGGAAGUAAGUUAUAUUUACAUUUACAUUUU